UACGAAGGGAACUAGCGUUGUCCGGAAUUACUGGGCGUAAAGAGCGCGUAGGCGGUUUAUUAAGUUGGGAGUGAAAUCCCGGGGCUCAACCCCGGAACUGCUUUCAAAACUGAUAGACUAGAGUGUGAUAGGGGGUGAUGGAAUUCCUAGUGUAGAGGUGAAAUUCUUAGAUAUUAGGAGGAACAUCGGUGGCGAAGGCGAUCGCCUGGAUCACAACUGACGCUGAGGCGCGAAAGCGUGGGGAGCAAACAGG
rnacentral:rRNA from 1 species